rnacentral:rRNA from 1 species
UACGUAGGGGGCAAGCGUUGUCCGGAAUCAUUGGGCGUAAAGCGCGUGUAGGCGGCUUGGUAAGUCUGCUCUGAAAGCCCGGGGCUCAACCCCGGGAGGCGGGUGGAUACUGUCAAGCUCGAGUCCGGAAGAGGAGUGUGGAAUUCCUGGUGUAGCGGUGAAAUGCGUAGAUAUCAGGAGGAAUACCGAUGGCGAAGGCGGCAUCCUGGACCGACAUUGACGCUGAGGAGCGAAAGCCAGGGGAGCAAACGGG